UUGAACGCUGGCGGAAUGCUUUACACAUGCAAGUCGAGCGGCAGCGCGGGGCAACCUGGCGGCGAGCGGCGAACGGGUGAGUAAUGCAUCGGAACGUACCCAGUCGUGGGGGAUAACGAAUCGAAAGAUUCGCUAAUACCGCAUACGUCCUGAGGGAGAAAGCGGGGGAUCGCAAGACCUCGCGCGAUUGGAGCGGCCGAUGUCGGAUUAGCUAGUUGGUAGGGUAAAGGCCUACCAAGGCGACGAUCCGUAGCUGGUCUGAGAGGAUGAUCAGCCACACUGGGACUGAGACACGGCCCAGACUCCUACGGGAGGCAGCAGUGGGGAAUUUUGGACAAUGGGGGAAACCCUGAUCCAGCCAUUCCGCGUGAGUGAAGAAGGCCUUCGGGUUGUAAAGCUCUUUCAGCAGGAACGAAACGGUCGGCUUUAAUAAAGUCGGCUAAUGACGGUACCUGCAGAAGAAGCACCGGCUAACUACGU
rnacentral:rRNA from 1 species